rnacentral:tRNA from 1 species
UUUCCUGUAGUUGAGGUACAACGAUGGUUUUUCAAGCCAUAGGCCCUGGUUAGAUUCCGGGUAGGAAUAAU